UGUGUGUUAAAAAAAAAACCUGGCCGUGAUCUGAGAGCAGAGGCAGAAGAGUAGAAGAGUGUGCGUGAGGAGGAGCGCAGUGCAGCUGGGGGAUUUUUUCUGGACAGUAGGGGGCUUCCCUCCGGCUCACGCUCAGGAUAAAGGCGCGAGGCAUCAAGAGCGAAAGUAAAAUGAGUGAAGAGCUCGAGGACAGCAGAUUGGGGGGGUGUGAACACAUCUGCUGAAAUACAGCGAGCUGGAUUCAGUGAACGCAGGCGGAUAAUUACAGCGGAACAGAGAGAGAGACAGAGAGAGAGAGCACGAGGCUGAAUGGAGCUGUGCGCUCAUCUGGAGGAAGAGCUGCUGCUGACUGUGUGGAGCAACUGGCUCACAGGACCAUGAGGAUAUGACCUUGGAUGGUUACCAAAAAGACGUGAUGCGCAACAAAACUUGGACAUGCUGGAUUUUUUUUGCUGGAUUUGUUUUGAGCCUGGGUGUUGCUCGGGAUUGCAAUUUUUUAUUUAAAAAUCACAUAACUGAUGAAUUGUUAUUGGAUCAUUGGUUUGAGAUCCGAUAUUUUCAGCACCCUGAUGAGACAGUCAAGGACGGCUAUACUCUUCUUUCCAUUGUUAACAUAAUGUGUACCAGCUUGAAGAAGUAUGGCCAUGACUAUGAUGACCUUGAAAAAAAUGAAAGUCGUAGACAGGUUACAGUGUCAUACAGAAUAUUAGUUAAUAAAAUUCUAAAUCUUGAAAGCAAAGACGACAUUCCGGCAGCCUGUGAGAGGCAUGCCUGCAACUACUCUUUCAGUAAAAGUUAUAUCAGCCCAGAUGAGCUGGAGAAAGAGUUUCGUAAAGAAUGUGCAUGGAAUGGAACAUUGCCAGCUUGUCCAUCGCCACAGAGAACAACGACAUCAUUGUCAUCACAACCCAGGAAUAUGACCUCCCCAUCUGCAUCUAACAAUACAAAGACACCUCCAGCAUAUCAGCCAACGUCUUCUACUAACGUCACAGAAAACAGUGGAAAUAUGCAAAAGAAUCAAGCAGAUCUGGAAAAAAACAACCUGGAAAAAAACAAAGGUAAGUGUGGGACCACAUUACACAUUGUUAAAUUCUCAGCUUCUACUAUUUUACUGACUAAAACCAAGUCUUUGCCCUUUUUUUCUAGAUAAUAUUUUCUUAUCAUUAUUGACUGUAUCCUGUACGGUCAAUGUUGCUUUGAUUAUCCUUGUGUUGUGGCAGUGCAGGAGCAGGCGUCCAAAUAAUCUUCAGGUAAGAUAUUUAUUUAAAUUCCUUACAUUUAUGUGUUUUUUUUGUGUGGAAGGUGACAUAGAGUACCAGUUGAAAGUCUGCAUUGUAGAUUAAUACUAAAGUCACUCAAACUAUGAAGAGAAUUGUAUACAAAAAAGUGUUAAAUAUUAUUUUACAACCUAUUUCAAUGUCCAUUGCUUCAUUUACAUGCACUGGUUUUGUUCAUAAGGACAAAAAAAAUCAGUAUGUCCAGUUGAGUUUGUCAUUGUCAUUGUGGUGAAGAUUUCGGUGAAAAUAGAUUGACUCAGGAGGAAGAUGGUGGCUUCCGUGGUAACAAGUUUCUCUGAACUUGUUCUACUUAAUCUUCUCUUUAUUUUCCUUAAAUAAACCACUGCUACUUGUUCA
ensembl:lncRNA